ACUCCAGUCCUCUCCACCCCAAGGUAGGCAGCUUCCCGCUCCUCGUCUUGGGACCUAAACCCAGGAAGUCAAAUGUCCUUUUCUAGCAGGUCGCCUGGUUAGAGGCCGUGGACGAAGCGGUCCAGGCACAGCCAGCUGCAGGGCGCGGCCUCGGCGGCGCUGCUCGUGGCCCUGGUCAGUGAGCGCACUCACUCCUGGACUAAGCAUUAUUCUCUUGGAUUCACCUUUGCAAAGAAUUGAACAAAAUAGAAGCCAAAGAAGUAGACAGAAAAUAAAUCAAUCCACUCUGCUCAAAGAGCACACAGUCUAAUGAAGAUGAUGAACAUGAAGUCAACUUCGUAGUGUUGAGAGCACUGUUUCUCCAGAGCAGCACUUCUCAUCAGGGGCUGCACGUUAGACUUACCUGGGGAGUAUACAUAAGUUCAGAUGCCCAGGCUGUACUUCAGAAUCUCUGGAGCUCUAUGCAACUCAUUUUCAUCUAGCAUUACCUCUCCAAAACCUGAAUCUCCACAAGAAAGCCACACAGCAAUUAACCAGUGUUGCAAGAACUGCUUCUGUAAUAAAGGUGGGAAGACAAAUUGAUGCAACCCUCUUGAAAAGCAAUCUGGCAAUAUGAACCAAGAGCCAUGAAAAGGCUUAUGCUAUUAUAAUUAAAUGGCUGUAAUGUUGGCUGUAAAUAUGAAAUUUUCUUUCACACACCAAUGUUUUCAAGAAUGGCAUAUUCACAUGCAGUAUGUGAUGAAAGAAGCAGUAAAGGAUGCUAACAAAGCUAUUUCUUUGGACAAUCUGAACCUGGUAGGUUUGAUACAUUUUAAUUGCAAAAUAAAUGACAAUUAAUGGUGC
rnacentral:lncRNA from 1 species